CGCUGGCGGCCUGGCGGUUCUCCUCCUGCAGGGACGCGCAGCCCGGGACCGCCACAAGCAGCGCGGGGUGGGGAGGGCGGGGCCGGGGGACAGGAGGGGAGGCGCCCGGGCGCUUUCAACGGUCCAGGUCUGCGGAUGGAGCGGGGACCCACCCGCUCACUGUCCCCUUCAGCAGUCAGCGCCUGGCGCCAGGGAGCUGUCCGCCCCGGUGGUUCUGAACCAGGCGCUGCUGAAACGCUCCAGGUUUUGGUGUUGGUGCUGUGAACGGCUAAUUUCCUUGGAUCCAGAAGCUGGAUUUUCUUGGAUUCUUAGAAGCUGGCUUGACAUUGAAGUCUAUCAAAGAGAAUUUGCAUCUGCUUUUCACAGCAUCCUAGAGGUGCUACCAAUCUGGGACCACUUUGAAUAUAUUUAUCUAUUUGUGAUUUUUGGUGGCUGCAGAGGUUCUGUGAAUUUGGACUAAAAACUCUUGUAAUAUCUUAGUUGUAUAUUUUCAGAGGAAUUUUUUUUUUUUUUGCCAACACCAAGUCUAGAUAGGCAGAGAGGAUACCUGAGUAAUUCUGUGAAGGUGAAUUACAUUCGUGCCUUGGAAAGGCUACCUUGAUGAUAGAUGAGAUUUGGGGAGUUGGACAUCUGCUGUGACCAGAGGGCUGUUACAGAAGGGAAUUUGGAGAUUCCAGUUGGUUACAGGGGCACAUGCAAUGUUAUUUUUAACCUCCCUUACAGGAGGGACUGGCAUUUCUCUGGUUGCUAGGGAAAUUGUGUUCUGAACUGUUACACAUUGGUUCCUAAUUUUAAAAGUCUUAGGGAAAACUAGAAAACUUUAUGAGCCAGUACCAGUGUGUUGUGCUAGGACUGUGCACCUGCUAAAACGUGGCUAUUUUUCUCUUAAUGUACUCAUGGGCAACUGUCACCAUAGCAACAACAAUGCGGGACCUUGCUGGUUCAUAGCGGAGGAUUCCUGUUGGUUUAGUGAUGGAGGCCAGUCCAGAAGCCUGUUCAGGAUUGAAGGAAGGUGAUGGAUUAGAGUUGAAAUAUCAUGGAGACCCUCUUCCCAGGGAAAGAAAGGGGGAAAUUUGACCGCUGGAAAGAGUGAGAGUGAGAUCUCCCGACUUUGCAUUCCUGAAGACUGCUUGGGCCUGGUGAGACAGGCAUGUUUUGUUUGGAUGCUAAAUUAAGUGGAGAGGAGACCUUAUGAUGAGCGCCCAGGGAGCAAGAGAAGCCCUGAGACAGUGGCAAGGGACACUGUGGGGCCGCAGUAUGCAUCCAGGAGGGAUGGUCAUGGUGGACCUGAAAGACCUGAACAGAGAGCCUUUGUGAGGAGCUGAGCUGAGCUGAACUGGCAUUUGGAAGCAGAGCCUCAGGGAGACCCAGUUCUGAUGGAAUUGAGAGAGGGCGACGUGGGAGUUGGUAUAAGGAAAGUCUUGUAGCAGAGGGCACUGUGACAGGUGCUCUCAAAAGGACCUUCAGCCUGAGAAGUUUAAGAGUUAAAGAAAGGAAAGAAACAUGAAAUGUGGCUUGACAGUUAAAGACAGAUUUAUUUUAGAGAAAAUAAACCUGAGAGGGGCUUCUGGCUGAUUUCAGUCAGGAGUGCUUGCUAUUACAGACUAAGAGUACAUGUUAGUUUUAGGGUGAGGGGGCUUAUUGCAAGCUUGGAAUAUUUCUGUGUGAGGGAGAAGUUUUAUGGUGGGAUUGGAACGUCUCCAGGAGGAGGGGAGGUUAUCUUGGGGAUGACAUCUUUCCAGCUGGAGGGGUGUUAUCUUAGAGAUGGCGUUUUCCCAGCUGGAGUGGGGUUAUCUCAGGGCUAGCAUGUCUCUGGUCGGGGAGGAGUUUGAAAUGUUUCUGGUUGGAGAUGUUAUUUGUGGUUUAAGGUCAUGCAGACCUUAGCCAUUAGGCUGAUGCCCUUUGGAUUUGGGCGGUUUUUGAUUAAGGUAAACCUUAGAAUGAGGAGCUUGUCCAAGAUGGUGAUGCUUCUGCUCUGCUGAGAAGCAGCCUGGAGGCAGGUGGGAGCACUGUGGGUCCAGUUCUGGUGGUCUUUAA